rnacentral:misc_RNA from 1 species
UACGUUUUCUUGAAACACGCAUACCAUAAGCCGUUAAAAAGACAACCAUGCUUAUCGAUACGAUUACGAUACACGUACUCGCAACAAGUUUGUCAUAAUUUUAAUUUGAAUGUACACGCUGGUCAGAAUCGAUCGAAUGAUAAUAACGAGUCUCACGAUCACUAAAGGAAGUCCAACGAAGCAAGUUGACCCUAAAUUCAUCAUACAGGGGUCAGAAUAAAGAAACGAGCGAGUAAUAAUGAGUCACGUAGUAGUAAACGUAUGCUUCCUAUUAAUAAGAACGUUUUAUUCGGUUGACUAUGGAAUGUCUAAUUUGUCAUGUUUUACUUAUUAUUUUUGCUUCAGAUAAAAUACACACACACACAUAUAUAUAUAUAUAUAUAUUUAGAAUAGUUGUAAACAAACUGUUAUAUAAAAUUCUAAAUAUAAAAGUUCAAGGUCAACACGCUGUAUCUCUGAGUAUUUUCUAACGAAGUCUAACUUAGAAGUCAAAGCAUCGACCAUGCUUAGCUAAUUCGCCAAUGUAGCUAGAUGAUUUGUUAAAAAUACGGAAAUAUUUGAAAACGAUAGUAAUAACUAUAAUAAUGAACAUUACAAAAAAGUGUUUAAAGAUGAUAAUCAUGUAGGUAAUUAACAAGUUGGCAAUAUCGCGUUAAAUCUAAAUCAAGUAUUAUCUAUUUUCAACGUAAAAGAAAAAAACAAACGUUAGAUAAAACGUAUUAUUCGGAAUAGAUAAGCGUAAUUUUUUAUUACGUGUGAUGACUGUUGCACAUCAAAAACUACAUGCCCAACUUCCGUCCAAACAUCAACUGUGUUAAAAAGAGGAAAUAAAUUAUGAAUAUCUCAAACGGUGACCUCUAUCGUCGAAUCCUAUGUGGGUAAUGGAACGAAUUUAGCCAAUUAAAGACUGUUUUAUCGACGGAGAAAAUCCUGGGGCAAUGACCUCGAUGUUGAGGAGCGCUUGACCUAUAUACCAAGUACCAUACUAAUGUAUCCAGCAUGCGUACACGUGUAUAACUCGUGUUCCAUUAUUCGUUAUCACAAUCAUAUAAUUAACUAUUUCAUACCUCGUAAUAUUUUCUCUACUAUUUUUAUCGUUUUCAAAGUCGGAAUAAAUAACACAUUAUAUACGUCAUAGAAACAAAUAAUAGAAAAACAUUGACAUUUCAAUAAGCGUUGUACAAAAUAGAAUGUGAAGGUCAUUUCAUAAUUCCUAGUUGUAAAGUGUCAUUCAACCAUAUUUCAUUCAUUAUAAAUAACAAUGUAAAUGCGUGUGUAACGCUAAAUACAAUAAUCGAACGUUAUCGAUCAAACUUUAACUAAUUUAGGACUCGAACAAAAGAUGAAAUACGUAUUCACGGCCAUUGCCAGAGCAGUCGCUUUAAAUAGCUAACCAACGGCAAACGUUUUAACUUAGGUCAAUAGUAUGUGAUUGAUCACAUUGUUUACGUAUGAGAAACGCUGGGU